rnacentral:rRNA from 1 species
UAGUCCACGCCGUAAACGAUGGUCACUAGCUGUUUGUCUUCGGAUGAGUGGCUAAGCGAAAGUGAUAAGUGACCCACCUGGGGAGUACGUUCGCAAGAAUGAAACUCAAAGGAAUUGACGGGGGCCCGCACAAGCGGUGGAGCAUGUGGUUUAAUUCGAUGAUACGCGAGGAACCUUACCAGGGCUUAAAUGUGGUUGGAUAGUUUCAGAGAUGAGACCUCCUUCGGGCUAAUCACAAGGUGCUGCAUGGUUGUCGUCAGCUCGUGCCGUGAGGUGUCAGGUUAAGUCCUAUAACGAGCGCAACCCCUGUUGUUAGUUACCAGCACGUUAUGGUGGGGACUCUAGCAAGACUGCCGGUGCAAACCGUGAGGAAGGUGGGGAUGACGUCAAAUCAUCACGGCCCUUACGUCCUGGGCUACACACGUGCUACAAUGGUAGGUACAGCGAGCAGCCACUACGCAAGUAGGCGCGAAUCUAUAAAGCCUAUCUCAGUUCGGAUCGG